GCGCCUGUAGCUCAAUUGGAUAGAGCGUCAGCCUACGGAGCUGAAUGUUAGGGGUUCGAGUCCCUUCAGGCGCA
rnacentral:tRNA from 2 species